rnacentral:rRNA from 1 species
AUACGGAGGAUGCGAGCGUUAUCCGGAUUUAUUGGGUUUAAAGGGUGCGUAGGCGGGAUUUUAAGUCAGCGGUGAAACGCAAGGGCUCAACCCUUGACCUGCCGUUGAAACUGGAGUUCUUGAAUGCGGAUGCUGUGGGAGGUAUGUGUGGUGUAGCGGUGAAAUGCAUAGAUAUCACACAGAACACCGAUUGCGAAGGCAUCUGACAGAUCCGUGAUUGACGCUGAGGCAAGAUAGUGCGGUGAACAAACAGGAUUAGAUUCCCUGUUAGGCCACAGUGUAAACGAUGAUAACUAGCUGUCGGCGAUACUCAGUCGGUGGCCAAGCGAAAGCGAUAAGUUAUCCACCUGGGGAGUACGAACGCCAGGUUGAAACUCGAAUGAACUGACGGGC